rnacentral:rRNA from 1 species
UAGGGAAUCUUCCACAAUGGACGCAAGUCUGAUGGAGCAACGCCGCGUGAGUGAAGAAGGCUUUCGGGUCGCAAAACUCUGUUGUUGGAGAAGAAUGGUCGGCAGAGUAACUGUUGUCGGCGUGACGGUAUCCAACCAGAAAGCCACGGCUAACUACGUGCCAGCAGCCGCGGUAAUACGUAGGUGGCAAGCGUUAUCCGGAUUUAUUGGGCGUAAAGCGAGCGCAGGCGGUUUUUUAAGUCUGAUGUGAAAGCCCUCGGCUUAACCGAGGAAGCGCAUCGGAAACUGGGAAACUUGAGUGCAGAAGAGGACAGUGGAACUCCAUGUGUAGCGGUGAAAUGCGUAGAUAUAUGGAAGAACACCAGUGGCGAAGGCGGCUGUCUGGUCUGUAACUGACGCUGAGGCUCGAAAGCAUGGGUAGCGAACAGGAUUAGAUACCCUGGUAGUCCAUGCCGUAAACGAUGAAUGCUAGGUGUUGGAGGGUUUCCGCCCUUCAGUGCCGCAGCUAACGCAUUAAGCAUUCCGCCUGGGGAGUACGACCGCAAGGUUGAAACUCU